rnacentral:rRNA from 1 species
AUUGAACGCUGGCGGCAUGCUUUACACAUGCAAGUCGAACGGCAGCACGGGGGCAGCCCUGGUGGCGAGUGGCGAACGGGUGAGUAACAUAUCGGAACAUAUCCGCAAGUGGGGGAUAACGUAGCGAAAGUUACGCUAAUACCGCAUAUACCCUGAGGGGGAAGGGAGGGGAUCGCAAGACCUUUCGCUUACGGAGUGGCCGAUAUCAGAUGAGCUAGUUGGUGGGGUAAAGGCCCACCAAGGCGACGAUCUGUAGCGGGUCUGAGAGGAUGAUCCGCCACACUGGGACUGAGACACGGCCCAGACUCCUACGGGAGGCAGCAGUGGGGAAUUUUGGACAAUGGGCGCAAGCCUGAUCCAGCCAUGCCGCGUGAGUGAAGAAGGCCUUCGGGUUGUAAAGCUCUUUCAGCCGGAAAAAAAUCGCACUAUCUAAUACAUAGUGUGGAUGAUGGUACCGGAAGAAGAAGCACCGGCUAACUACGUGCCAGCCGCCGCGGUAAUAC